rnacentral:rRNA from 1 species
GACGUAGGAGGCGAGCGUUGUCCGGAUUUAUUGGGCGUAAAGAGCGUGUAGGCGGUUUUACAGGUCCGCUGUGAAAACUCGAGGCUCAACCUCGAGCUGUCGGUGGAAACCGUAAGGCUAGAGUCCGGAAGAGGAGAGUGGAAUUCCUGGUGUAGCGGUGAAAUGCGCAGAUAUCAGGAAGAACACCCGUGGCGAAGGCGGCUUCCUGGACCGACACUGACGCUGAGGCGCGAAAGCUAGGGGAGCAAACGGG